rnacentral:rRNA from 1 species
CUCCGGUUGAUCCUGCCGGACCCGACUGCUAUCAGAGUGGGACUAAGCCAUGCGAGUCAACGCAGCAAUGCGUGGCAUACGGCUCAGUAACACGUAGUCAACAUGCCCAGGGGACGUGGAUAACCUCGGGAAACUGAGGAUAAACCGCGAUAGGCCAAGAUUUCUGGAAUGGAUAAUGGCUGAAAUCUAUAUGGCCCCUGGAUUGGACUGCGGCCGAUCAGGCUGUUGGUGAGGUAAUGGCCCACCAAACCUGUAACCGGUACGGGCUCUGAGAGGAGGAGCCCGGAGAUGGGCACUGAGACAAGGGCCCAGGCCCUAUGGGGCGCAGCAGGCGCGAAACCUCUGCAAUAGGCGAAAGCUUGACAGGGUUACUCUGAGUGAUGUCCGUUAAGGGCAUCUUUUGGCACUUCUAAAAAUAGUGUAGAAUAAGGGGUGGGCAAGUCUGGUGUCAGCCGCCGCGGUAAUACCAGCACCCCGAGUGGUCGGGACGAUUAUUGGGCCUAAAGCAUCCGUAGCCGGUUCUGCAAGUCUUCCGUUAAAUCCACCUGCUCAACAGAUGGGCUGCGGAGGAUACUACAGGGCUAGGAGGCGGGAGAGGCAAGCGGUACUCAGUGGGUAGGGGUAAAAUCCUCUGAUCCACUGAAGACCACCAGUGGCGAAGGCGGCUUGCCAGAACGCGCUCGACGGUGAGGGAUGAAAGCUGGGGGAGCAAACCGGAUUAGAUACCCGGGUAGUCCCAGCUGUAAACGAUGCAGACUCGGUGAUGGGUUGGCUUCGAGCCAACCCAGUGCCGCAGGGAAGCCGUUAAGUCUGCCGCCUGGGGACGUACGGUCGCAAGACUGAAACUUAAAGGAAUUGGCGGGGGAGCA